rnacentral:misc_RNA from 1 species
GCAGUUUCUUGCUUUUCUCUAAUCCCCAUACAUGAUUUCAAAGGAAACAAAGAACAAGGAACACAAGUAAAGAGUACCAUCUUUAUUUUCUUUAAUAUUAAAAACUUGAAAACCUAAGAAUUACAGGGCAAAAGAUCAUCACCAUCAUCAUCUUCAUCAGCUCUGAUUACACUUUACCAGAGAGGAUUUUUAGCUCCCCUAAAACAAAACAAAUAAAUACUUGACAAGAAACUAACA